GGGUGUUCCGAAGGUAGUGCCUUAUCUCAACUGAUUGUUCACAAUCAGUUACAGAUCAAACUCCUUGUUCUGCUCCUUCUCCCUUCUCACUACUGCACUUGACCAGUCUUUA
ensembl:misc_RNA Y_RNA Y RNA